rnacentral:lncRNA from 1 species
ACUAACAUUCUUGUGUUGCCUGUCAAUGAUUAAUUGCAACGUAUAUGAACGCAUAUUCAAGCGUUUUGAUGAAGAUGGUGAUGGGAAACUCUCUCCUUCGGAGCUUCGACGCUGCGUGGGGACGAUAGGGGAGGAACUACUGACGGAGGAGGCUCAGGAGGUGGUGGAGUCGAUGGAUUCGGACGGGGAUGGGUUGCUGGGAUUGGAGGAAUUUGUGGGGUGGAUGGAGAGAGAGGAUGAAGAGAGAAAGAUGGAGGAGUUGAGAGAGGCCUUUGGGAUGUACGAGAUGGAUGGGAGUGGGUGUAUCACUCCCAAGAGCUUGAAGAGGAUGCUGAGCAGAUUGGGGGAGUCACGAAGUGUGGAGGAGUGC